rnacentral:rRNA from 1 species
UACAGAGGGUGCGAGCGUUAAUCGGAAUUACUGGGCGUAAAGCGUGCGUAGGCGGCUUUGCAAGUCGGGUGUGAAAUCCCCAGGCUUAACCUGGGUACUGCAUUCGAGACUGCAUUGCUAGAGUAUGGGAGAGGGAAGUGGAAUUUCCGGUGUAGCGGUGAAAUGCGUAGAUAUCGGAAGGAACAUCAGUGGCGAAAGCGACUUCCUGGACCAAUACUGACGCUCAUGUGCGAAAGCGUGGGGAGCAAACAGG